CACACCUCACCAGUCAGUUUCAACAAAUAUUUGACUGUUGGAGGACAAACUAUGAGAACGAAUCUCAAAGUAACCUCCUAAAAUUAAAAUCUUAUUAAAAUCAAAAUCUUUAUUUACCACAGCAUCCCAAAAAGGGACAAUGGAAAUAAAUGCUCUCACGUGUACUUUGCAGGAUGACAGAAUAUAGCGGCUGAGGCUUUUUGCAAGCCUUUUUUGUCAAUAAUUCAACCGUAUUUGUUAUUAUAUUUUAACCUGCAUUAUUUUCUAAAUCGGCCAUGAAGAGCAAGCGUCAUAUGUCGUGAACGCGUUCGGGAAAACCCACCACAUCGACCUCAAGAAAAAUCGUGAUCUGGUUUCCCCAUCGUUCACCCUACGCUAUUUCAAGAAGGAUGGCACUGAAGUCCUCAAACAGGUUUCCCCGGAGAAGUGUCAUUAUCAUGGUCGUAUCCGAGGAAAUUCCGACUCUCUUGCUGUCAUCAGCACUUACUCAGGCUUUAUCGACGACGGAAAGUCCCGUUUCUACAUUCAACCACAUGACGACAAGGUAAGUCGAUGCAGAUAAUCAUCCCAGCCUUUCUAAAGAAACGCGUUUUUAGAAGGCCAAUCACGCCGCUGUCUCACGCUCUUUCUCAAUAUAGAGUCAGGCAUAGCAUCCAUUCCCAUCGGCUAAUUCAAUCGAGUAACUAAAA